rnacentral:rRNA from 1 species
AACGAACGCUGGCGGCAUGCCUAACACAUGCAAGUCGAACGAGACCUUCGGGUCUAGUGGCGCACGGGUGCGUAACGCGUGGGAACCUGCCCUUAGGUUCGGGAUAACUCCCCGAAAGGGGUGCUAAUACCGGAUAAUGUCUUCGGACCAAAGAUUUAUCGCCUUUGGAUGGGCCCGCGUUGGAUUAGCUAGUUGGUAGGGUAAAAGCCUACCAAGGCGACGAUCCAUAGCUGGUCUGAGAGGAUGAUCAGCCGCACUGGGACUGAGACACGGCCCAGACUCCUACGGGAGGCAGCAGUGGGGAAUAUUGGACAAUGGGCGAAAGCCUGAUCCAGCAAUGCCGCGUGAGUGAUGAAGGCCUUAGGGUUGUAAAGCUCUUUUACCCGGGAUGAUAAUGACAGUACCGGGAGAAUAAGCUCCGGCUAACUCCGUG